CGGGUGAGUAACACGUGGAUAACCUACCUAUAAGACUUGGAUAACUUCGGGAAACCGGAGCUAAUACCGGAUAAUAUUUUGAACCGCAUGGUUCAAAAGUGAAAGACGGUCUUGCUGUCACUUAUAGAUGGAUCCGCGCUGCAUUAGCUAGUUGGUAAGGUAACGGCUUACCAAGGCAACGAUGCAUAGCCGACCUGAGAGGGUGAUCGGCCACACUGGAACUGAGACACGGUCCAG
rnacentral:rRNA from 1 species